AUUGAACGCUAGCGGGAUGCUUUACACAUGCAAGUCGAACGGCAGCGCGAGAGAGCUUGCUCUCUUGGCGGCGAGUGGCGGACGGGUGAGUAAUAUAUCGGAACGUGCCCAGUAGCGGGGGAUAACUACUCGAAAGAGUGGCUAAUACCGCAUACGCCCUACGGGGGAAAGGGGGGGAUCGCAAGACCUCUCACUAUUGGAGCGGCCGAUAUCGGAUUAGCUAGUUGGUGGGGUAAAGGCUCACCAAGGCAACGAUCCGUAGCUGGUUUGAGAGGACGACCAGCCACACUGGGACUGAGACACGGCCCAGACUCCUACGGGAGGCAGCAGUGGGGAAUUUUGGACAAUGGGGGAAACCCUGAUCCAGCCAUCCCGCGUGUAUGAUGAAGGCCUUCGGGUUGUAAAGUACUUUUGGCAGAGAAGAAAAGGUACCUCCUAAUACGAGGUACUGCUGACGGUAUCUGCAGAAUAAGCACCGGCUAACUACGUGCCAGCAGCCGCGGUAAUACGUAGGGUGCAAGCGUUAAUCGGAAUUACUGGGCGUAAAGCGUGUGUAGGCGGUUCGGAAAGAAAGAUGUGAAAUCCCAGGGCUCAACCUUGGAACUGCAUUUUUAACUGCCGAGCUAGAGUAUGUCAGAGGGGGGUAGAAUUCCACGUGUAGCAGUGAAAUGCGUAGAUAUGUGGAGGAAUACCGAUGGCGAAGGCAGCCCCCUGGGAUAAUACUGACGCUCAGACACGAAAGCGUGGGGAGCAAACAGGAUUAGAUACCCUGGUAGUCCACGCCCUAAACGAUGUCAACUAGCUGUUGGGGCCGUUAGGCCUUAGUAGCGCAGCUAACGCGUGAAGUUGACCGCCUGGGGAGUACGGUCGCAAGAUUAAAACUCAAAGGAAUUGACGGGGACCCGCACAAGCGGUGGAUGAUGUGGAUUAAUUCGAUGCAACGCGAAAAACCUUACCUACCCUUGACAUGUCUGGAAAGCCGAAGAGAUUUGGCCGUGCUCGCAAGAGAACCGGAACACAGGUGCUGCAUGGCUGUCGUCAGCUCGUGUCGUGAGAUGUUGGGUUAAGUCCCGCAACGAGCGCAACCCUUGUCAUUAGUUGCUACGCAAGAGCACUCUAAUGAGACUGCCGGUGACAAACCGGAGGAAGGUGGGGAUGACGUCAAGUCCUCAUGGCCCUUAUGGGUAGGGCUUCACACGUCAUACAAUGGUCGGGACAGAGGGUCGCCAACCCGCGAGGGGGAGCCAAUCUCAGAAACCCGAUCGUAGUCCGGAUCGCAGUCUGCAACUCGACUGCGUGAAGUCGGAAUCGCUAGUAAUCGCGGAUCAGAAUGUCGCGGUGAAUACGUUCCCGGGUCUUGUACACACCGCCCGUCACACCAUGGGAGUGGGUUUCACCAGAAGUAGGUAGCCUAACCGUAAGGAGGGCGCUUACCACGGUGGGAUUCAUGACUGGGGUGAAGUCUAAAAGGGGAAACCGGAGAGGUCGGAUCCGGGCUCAGUAAGUGGUAACAAGGUAACCGUAGAGGGGGAGCCAUGGCUCAGUAAGC
rnacentral:rRNA from 1 species